AAAAACCUGGAGAAUACAUUAUCACCUUUCUUAGAGCUUAUCCUGCUGGAUUCAGUCACGGAUUCAACUGUGGUGAAGCAGUGAACUUUGCAAUUGGUGAUUGGUUUCCAUUUGGUAAUAUGGCUA